rnacentral:misc_RNA from 1 species
GGAAGUAAAAGUCGUAGCAAGGUUUCCGUAGGUGAACCUGCGGAAGGAUCAUUAUCGAACUACUUAUUUAGCGUUCCGUGCUAUCCCAUUGUUUUAUUUACCCUGUUGCUUCCACUGGAUGAGUUUCCAUACCUUGUGUUUGAGAAACUUUGGCUUGUGUAAGAUUCAUUCACGGCCAGCCAGUGAGAAGACCAUUUACAAAACCCUGUUAAGAACCAAUUGUCUGAAUAUUUUACUCCAAUGAAAUAAAACUUUCAACAACGGAUCUCUGGGCUCUU